UUUUUUUUUUCUCAAAUCACGCGAAGAGUAAUGUGCCUACGGUUCCUCGUUUCUGCAUGGAUACGUGUUCCUAAAUGUCUGUGUCAACGUUCUCUGUGAUUUUAGCACACUCUCCUGUGUCAACAUUCUCGGUUCUUCAACUAGAAGCCUCGAAUUGACUGCAUGUCUGCAUAUAUGAAAUUCAUGAAUUCUAUUGCUUCUGAAAAUUGCACUGUAUUAACACAGUACUAGUUCUCCUUGGGUGAAACUCCGAGUCCGUCUCUGUUCCUUUGCCGAGGGAAAAUCCGGUCGAGUCCGAUUUUGUGCUGGAGUUCUGAAACCGAUUCGGAGUUGACACCUGAAGAGACCCCCCAAAUAAAACGAGAGGCCAGGGUACGCCCUCUCCAUCAACCCAAACACCACGAUCAGAGCUCAGCUGAUCGACAACAGCAAACCAGAACCACCGCCUACUCGAAGCAACAGCAACCAUGGCACGGAGGACGACGAAGCUGCCUCAGAUCGCGACGAUCCUGCUCGCCGUCCUGCUGCUCCUGCCGUCGGCCGCCAUGGGCAAGGCCAUCGACGCCACCAAGACCCAGCGCCUCGACCUACCCGACGGGCUGAUCGGCCCCGAGAGCGUCGCCUUCGACCGCCGUGGCGCCGGGCCCUACGUCAGCAUCUCUGACGGCCGCAUCCUCAAGUACGCCGGCAAGAGCGUCGGGUUUACCACUUUCGCGUACAGCCCUAGCUACAUCAAGAACAACUGCGACGCACCGUCUGAGCUCCCAUCGGUCGCCACCGAGAGCUCGUGCGGCCGGCCGCUUGGCCUUCGGUUCCACAACAACUCUGGCGAUCUGUACAUCGCGGACGCAUACAUGGGGCUGAUGCGCGUCGGGCCGAACGGUGGGGAGGCGACCGUGCUUGCAACCGAGGCCGGCGGUGCGCCGCUGCGCUUCACCAACGGGGUGGACGUCGACCAGGUCACCGGGGAUGUCUACUUUACCGAUAGUAGCACGACGUACACGCGGGCGCAGCAUCAGAUGGUCACCGCGUCGGGAGACUCGACGGGACGGAUUAUGAGAUACAACCGACGGACUAACAAGGUGACCGUGCUCCAGUCCGGCGUGACAUACCCCAAUGGCAUCGCUAUCAGCGCCGACAGGAGCCACCUCAUCGUCGCCCUCACUGGACCAUGCAAGCUGAUGAGGUAUUGGAUCCGAGGGCCUAAGGCAGGGACAUCCGAGUUGUUCGCUGACCUGCCGGGAUACCCGGACAAUGUGAGGCCUGAUGGAAAGGGAGGAUAUUGGGUGGCGUUGCACCGUGAGAAGUAUGAGCUCCCGUUUGGAAAGGACAGCCACUUGGUCGCUAUUAGGAUCGGCGCUGAAGGUGAGAAGCUGCAAGAGAUGAGGGGUCCCAAGGAUGUUCGGCCAACAGAGGCAGUGGAACGAGGGGACGGCAAAAUUUAUCUUGGAUCCGUAGAGUUGUCAUAUGUUAGCAUUGUUAGUAGUGUUUAGUUCUAGAAAUAGAGUUUAAUUGUAUCGUAUAAGCUUUGUCUUCUAUUAAAUGUUCUUUUGAAAGGAUUAUUCAAGUUCUACGAGAAAUAAGUUAAUGGUCAUGGUUGUUACUGUACCUGUAGUUUAGUCGAGCUAUAUUGCAGAUGUACUUGGUCUUUCAUAAAUGCUAUAAUUAUAUAUUAAUUUUAAGAACCUGAAGUGAACUAUUUGCUGAAAUAAGGAAGCUGGCGAAAGACUUCUUAAAAGGGUCUACGAAAACCUUGAACAAAUUCUAGUAAAUUUUCAUAGUGAAUCAAGUUGUUUCCCUCAAUUCUUUCUCCCUCGUCAGGCCAACUUUUGUUUCAAGAGACAGAGAAGUACAAACAGUUUUCAAAUUAUCUUCUACUUGACAGCAGCUCAGGAGCAAGAAUUCUUUGUUCUGGCCUUCCUCGAUUUCUUCAGUACUUGGAUCAGUCCAUCAGAUGGGUGCCUUCCUCGAUUUCUUCAGUACUUGGAUACGUGAGCAAUCCCUGCUUGUACAGGGACAGGGAGAGAACAGCUCAAAAUGGCGGCAUCACUGACUAAAGAGCAUAUGGAGAGAGCCUGUGGAAGAACAAAUUCAGUUCAACACUUGGCGGCAUUACUGGUGCAAGUAGGAAAGGUGAUUUACGAUCCGUUUGAGCUCCAAACCCUUGACAUGAAGUUUGGAAGGAAGUUAAUCGUAUACUGUAGUUGCUAAUGAAAAUUCAAAUGGUCUCUGGUCGACCUGACCCUUGCUAAUUGAGGCCAGUGUGGAUCAUACGCGAGUUCCAUACCAUUCAUCACAAGACCAAGUCCAGUCCUCCAUCAAUGGUCUUUUGAAAUAAUUUAAUGGUCAUGGUUGUCUCUAUUUUUUUCUACGGAGUAUUUUUUUUAUAUUCAGAGAUUUACUUGCUUGCUCCAACAGUCGAGCCCGGCCUUCUCCCAAAAAUCAAUGACCUUUUCGAAAAGUCCGGCAACCAGUUUGCUGCAACAGAAAAGGGCACACGAGUAUAACGAGUUGACACGAGAAAAUGAAGCUUUCCAGACAGCGUGGGGGCUCAACCACUGACAAAAGGUCCUCUGAAUGCCUCAUUGCAGUCCAAGUGCAGCGGCUGGUUCAGUAAACAUGUCCGAUUAGAGUACCGUCAGCUUUGUUCUGGCAUGACACCCAGCUAAACAACGCAGGGAAGCUUGACUUUGGAGGCAACAAAACAAGCCCAACUUGUUCAGUUCGGCUCGACAUCUCGCUUUCGUACGUGGAAGAUAACCCAGCUCAAAAACUUACUCCCUCCGUUCCACGAUGCAGAUCGUUUUGAUUUUUCUAAAUUUAUAAUUUUUACUAUGCACUUAGAUACAAUGUAUGUCUAGAUGCGUAAUAAUAUCGAAAAGAUGUCGACAUCAGAUUAGAGUCUUUUCUGAGAGGAAUCAGAUUACAGUCAAGCGCGGCAACCGGCUCGGUAAACCAAGUCCAGAUAAAUCACCUUUACCAUACCUACCCAGCAGCAACAAAUCAACUGGAAUGGGCAUAAAAAAAGUGAUGGCUUGAGCCUUGAGGGAUCAGCCGCCACUGAAAAGGUAUCGGGAUCAGAUUGCAGUCAUGCUCAGCAACUGGUAGAGCAAACAAAUUUCAAUUAGGUUACAUUACCUACCCAGCGGCCACAAAUCAAAUGGAAACAGCGUCACAAAGACAGAUCUUCUCAGCCAUCAGAGACACUAACAAGGGAGAAAGCUUGGCAUUUAUUUAUUCAGUUAUCCACUUCAACAUCAUUUUCUGAUACAAGGCAACAAACAAUCAAACAAAGGCGCUACCAGCUACUACAGUACAAGCUUCCGGGUAUUAUUGGUGCUUUUUAUAUCCGAACAAAGAGCGCUACAUUAUUGCCGAACCCUUCAAAACUGUUGACAUGCAAAGGCCUUCGUUUAGACUCUUAUGGCGUUUUAGACCUCGAGGUACUUGCUGGCGGUGUGCACGUCCUUGUCUCCUCGUCCGCUGCAGUUCACCACCACCCUCACACCGUCGGGCAGGGUCGGGCAGAGCUUCUCAAGGUAGGCGAGGGCGUGGGAGGUCUCCAGGGCGGGGAUGAUGCCCUCCAGACGAGAGACACGCUUGAAAGCUGCAUGCGAGUGUCAUCAUGGGGUCAGAUGCUGAACAUAGCAUUCAGGACAGAAACGUGUGGGUACACUACUGAAUCAGUUGUUAAGACAAUUUUCAAUAGUUCAGAAAAAAAAAACAAAGCACAUGUGCACCUCAGCACAGGAAAAACACAGAAAUGUUAUUUAAACAGUUAGCAUAUCUCAGGAACAUGACAUUGGAGUCCCUGCAACGUCAACUAAAUAUUUAGCAAUCAGUCAGUGAUUGAUCGCAUCUUGCUGAUUCUACAUGUUUAAAAUACUCCACAUGUGAUGUCUUCACUAACUAAAAUUUUCCAGCAUUUUGAAGCACUCCACAUGGGGUGCUCUACUGACUAGCAUCUUUAAAAUAGUUUCAGCCACAAAUGAACAAGCAGCAAUGAUACUGAUAUCACUACUGCUACUUAGCGUGUAGACCAGAAUCUUGCGCCAAUGGAGACCAGCAAAUGUGAUAUAUCAAGAAAAUUCAGAAUGUCCAUGUUGUUAAUUAGAACAGUUAGUCCUGAUAUCAGGAUGUUCAAAGUUCACACCAUAAACCUGUUGCUAUCAGUAUUUGGUAGGUGGAUUGGAAAUCAACUAGACCAAAUUGGAUUGCAAAGGAUGGUAAGAGAUAGCAAUAAACAUACCGUCCAGUGCCUCCUGAUCUGUUACACUGUCGUACUCGGCACGUCCAAUAUCCUUCAAGAAACUGUGCUCAGGUCCAACACCAGGGUAGUCCAGCCUAUGAUUCAAAAUAAAAAGGGUCACUUAGCCCACAUGAUAAGUAACAAAUACAGUCUUGUGAAUGUAAAAAUCAAACAAACUUACCCAGCACUGAUGGAGUGGGGUUCAAUAACUUGCCCAUCAUCAUCCUGCAGCAAAUAGCUCAUAGAUCCAUGGAGAACUCCAACUUCACCCUUUGUCAAAGUUGCAGCAUGCUUGUCAGUGUCAACACCAUGACCAGCGGCCUCCACUCCAAUCAGCCUCACAUCUUGAUCAUCAACAAACUCGUGGAAGAGGCCCAUAGCAUUUGAUCCACCACCAACGCAAGCAACCAACACAUCAGGCUUGCCACCCCAUUUGUCCAUGGCCUGCCUCCGGGUCUCCUGGCCAAUAACCUUAUGAAACUCCCUCACCAUCAUUGGGUAUGGGUGCGGACCAGCAACCGAGCCCAAGAUGUAGUGUGUGGUCUCCACGUUAGUAACCCAGUCACGGAUAGCCUCCGAAGUCGCAUCCUUCAGGGUUGCUGUCCCAGAAUGCACAGCCCUGACCUGUGAAAAAAAAGAAAGGAAGCAAAACAAUGAUGAGAAAAGUGUUCAUAUAUCUAACAAACACUCCAACAAGAAAAGCAACAACUGUGCUGCUCACAGCCAUGCUUUAAUGAAUAAGUACUGCCAAAAACAACCCAAAUUUAAUAAUCUAAGGAAAGACAGAUGUUUUCACCAUACCUCUGCACCAAGAAGCCUCAUCCUGAAAACAUUCAGGGCCUGCCUCUCCAUAUCCUGUGCACCCAUGUAGAUGAUGCACUGCAGCCCAAAACGGGCGCACACCGUGGCAGUGGCAACACCAUGCUGGCCAGCCCCUGUCUCAGCAAUGAUGCGCUGCUUCCCGAGCCGCUUGGCGAGCAAGGCCUGCGCCACGGCAUUGUUGAUCUUGUGCGCGCCGGUGUGGUUCAGAUCCUCCCUCUUGAGGUAGAUGAGCGGGCCCGUGCCGUCGGUGCGCUUGUAGUGCUCGGUCAGGCGCUCCGCGAAGUACAGGGGGCUCUCACGGCCGACGUAGUCCUUGAGGAUACCGUCAAGUUCUUUCUGCAAAGCAGGAGAGCAGGGUCAGACAUAGCUCUUGGGUGUCAUCCGUCUAUAAAUAUAGAAAGCAAUAGCUAAAUCCCUUCGUCAUGGUUCGUGGGGCACAGGAAUCUGAUGAUACAAGAGUGUCAAAUUCUACCAUGUUUUUUUAAAAAAAAAACUGAAGUGGUAGAUUUUACAUUUCUCUGGGUGAUUUUGAAUCAUGGCAUGAUUGGGUGCAUUUUUCCUGCCCUUCCUGCAAAUCCUCUUCAGGUAGAGGUAGGUACCUGUCCGGGACUGAAAACAGUGGAACGCUAGCUUCUACAGUAGUGUGGUGUGCGCCUACACGGGCUUUUUGGAUGGUGGAAAGGGGGCCGAUGGGACCGAAAAAUCAAACUCGCCCAGGGGACAAAAAUCUCUCCGGCCAAUUAAACGCGGCAUCACGUAACGACGGGAAAUCACGCAUCGGGAACCAUCAGCACCAGUGCUAACUUAAUCUCGCGGUCAAACAACCCCCCACCAGUGAACGAGAGUGCCCAAAUCGCUCAUCGAAUCGGUAAAAGUGGAUCUCGGAGCACCAACGGGUGCGAAACCCCCCGAAUCUGAAGCCCGGCACAGAGAAGGAGGGCGUUGUCGGCGUUACCUGGAACUCCUCGUCGGUGGCGAGCGCGUGGAAGGCGUUCUCGAGCUCGGUGAGCGCGUGCAUGAGCGUCUCGGGCACGUACUUGCCGCCGAACUUCCCGAACCUCCCCAUCGUGUCGGGCCUCGCCAUCCCCGCGACCGCCGCGCCGUUCUCCACCGCCGCCGACGGAGCCUCCGCGGCCACCGCCUUCGCCGGCCGCAUUGCCGCCGCGGCCACCGCGCCCCUCCGCGAUGCCGCCGACGACGCAGACGACGCGACCCUUAGCACCGCGAGCGGGGAGCGGGCGGUGGAGGAUCGGGACGGGGCGGCGGCGGCGGCGCGGCUAGGGCUCCCGAUUGCGGCGGCCAUGGGUGGUAGAAAUGGCAGGAGGCGGCUAAUAGGAGAGAUGCUGAGGCGGGGACGGGGUUGGGGGUGGUGGUCGGGGUGCAGCGGGUACCCGGCGCGGCGGGUAUAUAUCGCGGUAGCCUUUGGAAUUCCGGGGCGGGGGUAGGUGGGUCCACGGCGGCCCGGCUGGACCCGGCGCUCGCGCCACGGUCCACGCCCCGCGCGCCACCCCUGGCUGGCUCUCUGUGCGGUGCAGGUGGACCGGGUGCGGGGAGGCGGGGGCGGGGUUGACUGGGUCGGGCCGGGGCCCACCGGAUCGGGGACGCUCGCGGAGCACGUGCGAGGGCGAGGCGGAGCCGCUCGUUGCCUUCCCCCCGUGCUCCUCCUUUUGCGGCUGUCCGGGCAGGGGCAAUCGACCGUCCCACGUGGACCGGCCUCCGCCGCCCGCUCGGUGUCGACGGGAGGAUCGGGACGGCGAGGUCGACGCCGGCGGGGAUCGUCCGUUGAGAUAUCCGAGCGCGCGCGGUGGGUCGGUUGGUGAGAUAUCGAUGGCGACGGGGGAGGCGUUUUGCGUCACGGGUUUUAAUUCCCGUUUCGCUUCUCUCUCUGCUCCUAUUUGUUUCCGAGGUUCUAUAGCACGUUUGUUCCAGAGUUUACCUUUUGUCGUCUCCUUUUCUUUACGGUGUUUGGGCGAAUUUUGAUUCCAUCCCUUUAAAUUCUCUUGAAUUUGUACCAAACCGAAUGAGCCUCUGUCGCUUCGCCGUCGCAUCCAGCUUGGCAGCUUGCAAGUUGCAACCGGUUAAUAAGAUGGCUGGUGUGAAACUAAACUAGUCGAAGCAAGUCGUGCACUCACCUGGCCUGUCCCGAAAUACAAGGGGACUGCGAGUGGUUUUCGAGGAAAAGUACGUUGCUGUAUGUCAUACGUCAGUGGUUUCAUAGAUCGUCUCAUGCAAUGUCACGUAGGAUUUUUUUUUAUGAUGUGGAGGAGAGAGAGCGAGGAGAGUACGUAGGAUUUUUUUAUGAUGUGUAGGAGAGAGAAAGAGAUCGUUGUUUUACGAAACAACCGCUUCAUGAGCCAAAUUGUAGGACUACGAGAUAACUCAACAACCAUUGUAUGACUUAUUAUUAUCAUGUAACUUAUAAUAUUUUCUUUUUUAUAUGCAUAAAUUAAGAAAUUAUAUAGAUCUACCAGAUAAUUUAAUGUAUAAGAACGAGAUUUAUAAGAUAACCCAUGGUAAGGUUCGUUGGUCUUAAGAUGUUAAUGUAUGAGAACGAGUGUUUGUUCGUUAGAAAUAUCUUCGAAUCGGACAUUGUGCCUCUCCAAUGAACGUGAAAGCAACGGCCUGCUGCUGCUAUCUGGUUGACAUCGUCGCCGUGUACAGGAUCGGACGGCGGUCUCGGGCCGUUCGUGAAAGCAAAUAUAGGAAUAGACAAAUAUAAGUCCAUAAUAAGCACACAUCGUAGUGUGUGUAGGAGUACACAAUAUCUCCACGUCAUGAGAGGUGCAGGGUUAAUGGCGCGUGCGUGAAAGUGACGUGGCCGUGCCUAUCGCCUUCCACAUCGAAUCCACUGUGAAACCGAUCGACACGCAUGGCACGAUCGACGAGCAGUACUGCUGGUCCACUGUUUGUGCUUAUAUUACGGUGGCUGCGGUGAGCAUUACUUAUUAUUUCUAAUUAACUUGUAAGCCCCAGCUUUGACACGACGAUGAGCCGGCCAUUGCUCGGAAUGCGCCUGAUCCAAACCCACUCUUUAGUACUAGUUGUGCAACCGAUAUUACUAUUUCGGUACUAAAGAGAAUCUUUAGUAUCGGGUCAAAUAACCAGUACUAAAGGAGUAUUAAAAAAUAAAAAAAAGAAAUCCGUCGACCGGAGCUCCAGCCGCACAGCACCUAAGCCUCGCACCGAAGAGAGAGGGAGGGAGGCGGCGUACUUACGUUGCUCAACCUGCCGCCACCGUUCCUCAGCCCCUCGAUUGCCGCCACCGUCGGAUCUAAGGGAGAGGUGGCCUUUACUUCAAGAUCCACACGCUUCUUGCUUUGCCAUGCCUCCCGCUGGAGCUCCGCCGUUUCUUGCUCCGCCAUGCCUUACCGACGCUCCGCUGCCUCGCCGCAUCCUUCCUUCUUGCCUCCACUGCUCCUCACCACAUGUAAGAGGUGAGGGGCGAGCGAAGGGGGGAGAAGAGGGGUGGCGACGGGAAGGGCGGCGAUGAGAUCUGUGUGGGGAGAGGGAGGGGAUUCAGCUAAGGAGAGAGAGGGGAUUCGGUGAGGAGAAGAAGAGAGAAGGCGCGGGUGAGAGGAUGAGGGGACGAGCGGAGCGGAUAAGUGUGGGGAGGGGGGUGAACAUGGGUGAGAGAGAAGGAGGGUCGAUGCGUGAAAGGAAGUUGCGAUUUAGUACCGGAUGAAGCCUCCACCUGGUACUAAAAGACCCUCAGGCAUAUUAGUACCCAUUGGAGGCUUCAACCGGUACUGAUAGGUGACAUUUAGUAUUGGGUGAAGUUUCCACCCGGUACUAAAGAGGUCACGGGAGCUCCUCGGGAACUGGUUGUUAGGUUCGAUACUAAUACUUAUGUUAGUAGUGGGUUGAAACACGACUGGUACUUAAGUCUCGGGAUAAAUGGUUUUGCAGCAGGGAGCCCGGAGGUUGUUUCCCGGCAAAAGCCGGCCGGCCGCUAGCCCCGGACGGAGGAGGCUGCACGUCGUCGGCGGCGCGGCGCUCGCAGCAUCCACAGCUGCGGCGAGCCCACGCUGCCUGCUGCUUCCCGUUGCAUCGUCGUUGGUCAAAGAUGAGCAGAGAUCGAUGAGGCUCCGGUCCUCCGACGGCACCGUAACUAGCUAACGUUGUUGGCCUCUGGGAUCUCCUAAUGUUGUUUGGCUUUGGUGAUCCUACACGGUCAACGACACACCUACUCCAUCGCGCGAUCAUCAGGCACCUUGCAUGUGGAAGCACAGCACGCUUACCUACCUACCCUACUGCAUGUACGAACCUCGAGUGAAUCUAAAUUACGUGCAGCGCACGAGGUUACAGUGCGCAACGUACCCGAGGAGAGGAGAUGACGUUGUUUUAUACAAGUGCGCACACGGGAGUGUUUGGUGCGGGGUACUAAACUUUAGGAGAGGUCACAUCGGAUGUUCGGACGCUAAUUAGGAGGAUUAAACAUGAACUAAUUAUAAAACUAACUGCAGAACCCCUAUACUAAUUCGCGAGACGAAUCUAUUAAGUCUAAUUAAUCCAUCAUUAGCAAAUGGUUACUGUAGCACCACAUUGUCAAAUCAUGAACUAAUUAGGCUUAAUAGAUUCGUCUUGCGAAUUAGACUCCAUCUGUAUAGUUAGUUUUGUAAUUAGACUAUAUUUAAUACUCCUAAUUAGUAUCUAACAUCCGAUACGACAGGUACAAAGUUAUGAACCUGUAUCAAAUAGGCCUACUUAUCCUCAGGAAGGGCCAUCGAUGAUCCAUCCAUCCAUCCGCACAUGAGGGAGCACCGCGCGCUUCACGUGAUCCGUCUCCGUGGUCCGAUCCGAUCCGCGCUGGCACCACGCAUGGGGACAAGCAGCCAACGACAGGCACGCAGGCGGCGGGUCCUACAUACUUGUAUAUAUAUAUAUAAAUAAAUAAUACACAUGUGCAACUGAUUAAUGGGCUAAGAGGUCAAACUGAUCCACGCUACGUGGCAUCAGAUCACACCGCGUGGAGCCCACCGUCAGAGUUAUUUGUUUUAGAUGAGAUUGUCCGUCGUGAGUUUAAUCCUGUAAAAUCUAGUGGGAUGACCUCAUUUUUCAUGAUUAUAUCAUUUAUUAGUUUGUGGUCGUUUUGGUCCCAUUUUCGGAAGACGACGCAAGCAAGAUGCAUGUUCUCUGACAUCUGUGACAUGCUCGUCCAAAACAAAAUUUGGAGCUGCUGCUAGCUAUGUUCAGUUCGGACGAGAAAAACACGCAUGGAGCAAAUCUGGAAAAAAAAAAACAUGUGCGCCUGGAGCGUGCGGCGGCGGCAAGGCAACAACAGCAGGAGCAAAAAAAAAAGCACCUUUUAGCGGCCUGGUUGCCGCCGUUAUAAACACAGCAGAAUGGCAUAUGAACACACGACCAAAUCUUGCACAAACAACAGCAUCAAAGCAGUAGUGAUUCUCGUCGUCUUUCUCCGUCCAGGAGAACAUCAUCCACACCCCACAUCCCCUCACAAUGCAGCAUGUCAAACACAGGAGGAAAGAAGGGGCAUCAUCUCUUCUAUUUCUUUUCAUAUCCAGCACAUACCAGCAGAGUUCUCAAAUUCCCAACCAACAACAACAGAAGAGAACCCGGCACAUAAGAAUCUCCAAAAUUUACUACAUCUUUGACAGUUUAGUCAUGCACAUACAGUUAGUCAACACAACACACAUUGUGCUGCAGGGUUUACUCUUUCCCAAAGGUAAUUCUGAAAGUUUACGAUGCAGGAAUUAGUGUACUCUAGGUGCAUCCAUUGUUAAUCUGGCUAAAUCAAAUCAACAAAGAUUAAGACUGCUCACAUGAAAUUGCAGCGUCUCCAGCUGGGGUGCAAAGGCCAGAUAGUGAGUCAGCUGAAGAAGGUCGUGUCUAAUUGGACCAUUAGUGGAGAUUGUUAUUUCACAUGUCAGGUGCCUCAAAUUUGUAAAAAUGGAUGUCCGACUUCUUUCCACCAUAUGCCCCUGAACAUGACCAAAGCAGAUAAGAAAACAUUAUUAGCUCCUGCAUUUUGACAGGUGAACUGUGAGGUUAGUAAACUAGUAAAGAAAUUAAAAUUUAAUCCACAUACCUGUGACAACCAUACUGGAUGAUAUGCAUCCAUAUCAGCACGCAUAUGUAGCACCUUGACUGCCGAAAUACUGGGAAUCACAGUAAAUGCAUGGCCCAGUUCUUUAUUAUCCUUUUUAAAUGUUACCGAUGCCUUCUCCAACUUAGAGCAAUCAUGAAGGCGUAUAGGAAUCACAUCCCCUUUGUAUUCAAAAUGAACAAGACCGGAAACAUGAAACUCAACCAUCUGGACACGCAUAUGGUAGAUAAGCAAAUGUCUCAGUUUAUCCAGCUGGUGUGGUAUAUUCAGAUCAGUCGCGCCCGAGCAUGCAGUGAUCUCCAAGUCCUCAAGGCUACAACAAUUUAACAGCAAGCCUGGAAGAUCUCCAACUAUAUGAACAGAGUGCAGAAGAAGGCUUCUGAGUUUUGCAAAGCCACAUAUAUCCGAGUGUGGCUUUAUAGAAACAUCGGCAAGAAGCAAGGCCUGGAUAAAAGGGCCAUCUUGAGCACCUAAAGCCUCAAGAGGGAAGUGAUACAAGUUUUUUUAUUGGUUCUCCAAUAUACUUUUUGGACCACAGGUUAAUAUCUAUAAUCUUCGCCUUUGCUGCAGUGGCAAAGUGAAUCCACCUAUCAAGAUGAUAUGAGGAUUUAUUUUCAAGGCUGCACCUGAUGCUGAACUUAUUGAGCCCUAUUCCGCUGUGCUGUUGUAUAAUGGAACUGACUGUCUCAAUGAACUUUGCUCUUUCUAUUUUAACACAAUCCUCGUCAUUGGACCGGUUUUUGGUGCCAUCAAAACAGAGGUUAGGGUGGUGUGUCCAUAGCAUUCGCCAGUUUUUCGACAUAAUGCUUGACCUUGCAGCCUCUUUCAGUGAAAGCAGAGACAGUACAAGAGGUUGAAUUUCCUGUGACACCAUCGGAUGAUAAGAAGGGUUAGGUUUGAUCAAAACUACCGAAUAGGCAUGGCAAUCAAAAGUAAUUAGGAGUCAGGAUACACAACGACUAAAACCAGAACAUUGAACCCUUCUUUUCUGCAAGGAAAAGCUGAGCACAUUCAGAUCAGACACUAAACAGAUAAGAAAGUGCAAAGGAACCGAACCACAAAUGGAGACAUUCAACUCAACCAAACUCAGCUAGAAUUUACCAAUUCAACCCACAGGCAAUCCUAAAGUUUACCAAAAUCCCAGGAACAUGAUAGAUGUAGUUAAGAAAAAACUGCAAAAGAUUGUGCUAUACAGAAACUAGACCAUUUGAAUGCAUUGGAACCAAACAAGGUUGAAAAUUGGAUAUUAGAUGGACCGGAGAACUGUAUGUGCAUGUAGUGCGGGUGAAGCGUCCCCACAUAAGUAGAGACUAAAUGUGUUACAAAUAUCAGUCCCAGGAGGCUGAUAGCACAUUUAUUCGACAGAUAAUUCAGUUACCGUAUAACUCCCGAGGGAGCGGGCGUGAAAGCCACGCAGCGAUAAACAGUAAAUAAAUAACGGCGGCUAACCAAGCGACUGCCAAAAGACAGUACUCGGGACUACACGGCAGCAGCAGCAUCUUGGGUAGGCCAACACCACAGGCAGCGUUGGGUGCGGACACAACCUCUACUCAAGGUCCUCGGCGACGAAGUCCGGGUCUUCCUCUGUGGCAACGAAGCAAGGGUGAGUACAGACGUACUCAACAAGUCCAACCCCAUCCACGGAGGGGGAUACAAGCAAGUUUAUGCACAAGUAUAUCAAGGAUAGGCUAGAGUUUGUUUGCGGUAAAGCUGAAUUUUAACACAUGCAGGGGAUUGUUUUCAAAAGGGUUUUUUAUAAAGGUUUCCGUUACUACCCAAAACAUUGAGUGGGGUUGAUCCUACACAAAGGAUCCAAGUUUUUAUCGCUAUCGGACUCCCCGUCCGCCAUAGCGCACGGCACAACUGCCGGACUCUUCCGAAAUCCAACACCCAUGCACACACACAUGACAUUCUUGCCCAAUUGCUAGUUAUGUGACCAAGCCGUAACUCGUCCAAUACCGUGGACACGGCUACCCGGAUAGGUUUUAACUCUGCAGAGGGUGUACACUUUUCCCACAAGUAGGGUACCGCAGCAAGAUCACCUUAGUGUCGAUGCGGAUCCUAACAAAGCCAUUACCCACCUUAGCUAAGACUGGCUAGCCCUCGCGGAAACACCCAAGGGGUUCACGGCUCGUCCAUGAGACCGUAACUGGGACCUAAGUCACCAAGAUCUUACUCCUUUUCCAUGGGUUCCCGUUGCUCACCAGCACCCCUGAGGACUAACAGUUCAGCUAGUGGGAUUUAUGCUAAGCCGUUGCCCAUACAACGGUCGAGUGGUUGCACGAUGGUGGAAUUAGGCAAGAUGACACAUCAACUCGGUCCUUAAAUAUGACAAGAUGGAUAUCUCCCGACAUUGCUCAACCACCAAGGUACGAGCACAACAACAGAGCAUCCCACACAAGGAACACCCAUCCAUCCCGUCUACACAUCCUCUUUUCCCGAACCCAUAAGCCAUUUCUCUUACUUGGACGCACACACACAUUUAUUUUUCCGAAUCCACCAUUGUAAUAUUGAUUUCAGUUGAGUAACAAAUUCCUAAGCGUUCUAGCAGUGGUUAUCAUCUAAACAGAGCAAGUCAUAUUUAGAGAUAAGCGUAGGAUAACAAGGAAUGUUUAUAACAAUCAAGGGGUGGCUAUCCAACCAUGUCUUGCGAUGAAAUAAUAUGCACUUUGUAAAACAGGCCAAUAGGUUGUGUUUGAAAAAUUGGGUAAUAAAUAUGCAUCAAAGGGUGAGAUUGGACUUGCCGUCUUCAAAGCCUUCCGGUAGCUCCGGCUCGCGGUACUGGUCCUCGGGCUCGGGCUCGCGGUCAAACUCCUCUUCGGGCUCCUCCUCGGGCAAUCCGCGAUCUACGGCACGCACAAACAGACACACAAAUAAAUAAAAGAGGAAACGGUUUUUUAACCGUGAGCUCCGAACAGGAAACGUGAACGGAAAAUAGGUAGAAGGAUUAUUUUUGAGAAAUUUGGAUAUAGAUCGGCGAAAGUAUUCUGGAGGAUGACGUGGUAAAAUUUGGGAUUAAUUGGAGGAAGUUUGGCGCAUGAAAUGACGGGUUAAACAUGAAUUAGGGGCUUAAACGGAGGCUUAGGGCUGAUUUAUAAUAAACCAGGGACCUAUGUGUAAAUACUUUCGGGGAUGGAGGGGCUUAUUUGCGAAACUGCUAUAAGAGUGGUGGAAGGACUAUUUCGCGAAUAGUGGAUUUCAGGGGGUUAGAUCGGAAUUUGGGUUUCUUCUUCCUUUGGUGCGCACAGUACACAGGGGGAGAGAGGGAGGGGCACGGCCGGGCCUAGGGGUGGCGGCUUAGGGUCGCCGGCGGCGAGGGGAGGCGGCGGGAGAAGGUGGAGGGGUUCGGGGAGGCCCCAUUUUGCUACUCACCUUGGGGAUUUGGGUAGGGAAGGGGGUGCGGCCGGUGGUGGGUCUCGGCGGCGGCGGCGGCGGCUCGGGUGGCGGAGGCAGGGGAAACGGGGAGUGGUGGUGUUGGUGGAUGGAGAGUGGGGAGGGCCGGGUGGCUUUUAUAGGCGGCGGGGAGGGCGCCGGCGGUGGCGUGCGGGGCCGGGACGCGGCGUGGUGCCAGGCGCCGGGGCGGAGUGGCGGCGGCGUACGGCGGGGUAGGGGCCGGGCAGGCCGGCCGGGGAGUCGGCGCCGGGCGGCAGCACGUGCCCCGGGCGCGGGCCCAAGGCGGCCGGGCGGCGUGGCGCCAGGCGCGCCGGCGGGGCCAGGAGGGCCGAGGUGACCGGCGGGACCGAGCCGAGCGAGGGGGCCGGUGACGGGCGGAGGUGACCGGCGGGACCCCAGGCGGGCGGCGCGGGUUCGAGCGACGGGGCAGUAUGGCGCCAGGGAUGGGGGGCGCCGGAGUAAAUGGCGUUGGCCGGCCAGGAGGUGUGGCGCCAGGGGGAGGUGACGCCGGGUGCCAAGAAGAAGAAAGAGGAGGAGAGAGAGGAAGGAAGGAGGAAGAAAGAAGAAGAAAGAGGAAGAAAGAAGAAGGAAAAAGAAAAGGAAAAAGGGGGAGGGAAAAGAGAAAGAAAGAAGAAAAAGAAAGGGACCGGCGGCGAUUGCGGCACGCGGUCGGAGCACGCGCGUAGCGUCUGACAACGGCACGCGGCGAGAUUUACGGGCACGGAUAGAAAGGUAGGGGUCGGCAUGGGUACCGGGACGGCGAAAUCGCCGGGGAGAUUUCCGAUUUCCGGGAGCUCGGCGGUAAAAAGAUUUUAAAGACAGUUUUUAAUGGGUGGUUUUAGUUGGUGAUUUCUACGGGUGUUACAGCGGGGAAGGUUGAGCGGUCUGCUCAACUCACCAGAGAUGGAGAAGGCAGCGCAGCCAUGGCUGAUGGGAGCGAGGAAGAUGAUGAAGGGGAAAUAAUUUGGUCCAGAGUACUCCAUUCGGAAGAAUUGGUUUGACCACGAUGUCAAAAUAUGGAAGACACAAGGACUGGUAUCAAAGUCGGAGAGGCACUCCGAUUCGGUGCCAAAAAAUGAAAAUUCCCAACGCUAUAUGUGGCCCACCGGUUCUACGACGAGUUGUGGUCGUCACAAAUGCAAGAGGUUGAUGGCGCACCAUUUUGUGAUGAUAUGAGAUGUUGUUCUAUAAUGCUUGUUUUACUUUCGUCAUAGAUCCGUAGUGGCUGAGGGCUGGUGCCGAUGAACUAUGAUGAACCUAGGAUUUUUGUCAUAGAUAUGGUUUGUUCAAUGAUGAAGUUUUAGAACAUCACGCGCAAAACGUCAUGGAAGCUAUUAUUUCUAGUAAUGCUCGGAACAUCCGACGCUUCAUUCGAUGGCACCAUCAGAUCAUCCGGUCUUGAACAGGUUUUUAUCAAAACCUUCUGAAGUAUUUCAAUGUAAAUAUGCUUCGUCCGAUGGUCACUUCAAUAUAGCAUCGGAUCAUCAGGUGCUGUAGGAUUUUCUCUAUCUUCACUGUGCAUUUGCGACGCUUGUAAAAUUCACCCCGUCGGAUCAUUCGGUACCUUUGUAGUUUUUCCUGUUGUACCAAUUGCUUCAAUGGUUGCUCCCAUGCACCGAUGGAUAAUCCAGUGCUACUUAUUUUUCUAAAUUGAAUACCGUUAUUUGAGCACCAUGAAUACUGUCACUUGCAUGCUCUAGAAUUAUUCUAUCUUGAUUUUCACUAUCAUUUGCACACUUGAAUAUCAUAGAAUAAUCUUAGAUACUAUGGCUUGGACACUCAAAUACCAUGAUUUGGAUCUUGCCAUGGUGUGGUUCGCAUUCUUGGGACCUAUGAAACUACAUUCUUGACAAACCAAUAGUCCCAAUGAUCAUGUGGUCACUCACUCACCAAAAUCAGAAACUAUGGCCUAAUAGGUCAUUGUUCCUCACACUAACCUUUAGAACACUUGGAUAAGUGAAAUUCCACGAAAUGGUGAAAAAUCAGGCACCACCUCCCCUAGGUCGCCAUGGAAAGAAUGAAACUCGAGCUCUUAGCUAGUCUUGUUGGUGGCUCGGGCAGGAGGAAGAAGAAGCCAGCUUUACUGGAGGAAAAUUAGUACUGGGUGGAGAGGUUUCACCUGGUAUUAAUAGGUUGCAUUUAGUACCGUGUGAAGCCUCAUAUCGGUACUAAUAGUCCUCCUGGGGACUAACCGUUAGGUUUAGUACUAAUGUUGCUCAUAUUAGUAUCGGGUCAAAAAGCAGCCGGUACAUACAAGUCGGGUGUUGGGUCCAAGGAAGUCGGGUGUUGGGUCCAAGGAAGGAUGUGUACUUCGGAGGCUUGUUGUUAGGCAUUUACUAGUUUUGGUAUUGCUUACUUGCUAAAAUAGUUGCUAGGAAUACACUUCAAUUCUACGUAGUGAAUUGUAUCACUCUUCGACUAUACGAUGAGUAAAUGUAUGUAUUGCUCUUCUUAGAAUUGGGGUAUUUGUAUCCUUUUUAUCCUGAUUUAAUAAUCGGGGAUGCUUCAAAUUGGGACUCGAAAAAAAUGGUUAAAUGCAUGUUCAGUAGAACCUGAUCCUGUCAAUGAGGCUUGUUAGAUGGCCUUGGAGUUUAUAAAAUCUUAGUUUUCACUUGAAAAAACCCCAUUAUAUAAAUGCGAAUCAUCCUUUCUCCUGACAAGCUUUGAAUAAUAAUAUAUUUAAUUACAUCAUACAUCAAAACAAUCAAUGCAACUUGAUACAAUGAGUUCAUGACCAACUUUAAGUGCUGAUUGACUGACCGAAUCACACUACAAAAGCAGAGUCGUAAUAAAAUAUAAAGUCAACACUAGAGAUCUAGGGAAAUGCAGGCACAUAUAUAGCUAAUCAAGUGGGACAUUUUUUUUCUCUUGUGAGAAUAUUAGUUUCAAGAAGUGAGUUAAUUUUUCUUGUUUUCAAAUAAGUUUUUUGAAUAAUUGAGUGAUUGUCUAACCAUCUAAAUUGUAUUGAGCCUUAUACAUUUGGGUGAUGUAGUUUACGAGAUACUCCCUUCGGUGUUAACUUUACGACGUUGAACUAAUUAGCUUCUCAUAAACAUUACAGAUUAACAACAAAGAGUAUAUUAAACUUGCAGGUGAUUUUUAGUCAGCAAAUGUGCAUUUUCUUAAUUUUUCUUGUGUUUUGAUGGCAUUGGUGGGUGUUAGCAGCCCUAUAACUCUGAACUGGUCAGCCCACUUGAACCAUUUUUUUAGUAUCAGCAGCAGUUGUUUAAGUACCAUUUGCCGGCCACUCUGCUAAAGUAAUUAACCUUGCCGGCCACUCCCAUCGUAUUUAUCACUUGCAGCUCUUGCCUGUUUCGGGCCAAAAAAGUCCUUAUCCAGAGAGCCGUUUGCAUCGAGGUGGCAGGAUUGCAGGAAUGGCCUCGCCCACCAUCCGAGCCGGCCGCCGCGUGGUGUUCUUCCCGUUCCCUUACCAGGGACACUUCAACCCGAUGCUCCGCCUCGCCGGCGCUCUGCACGCGCGCGGCGUCGCGGUCACCGUGUUCCACACCGAUUUUCGCGCGCCAGACCCGACCUACUACCCCUCGGACUACCGCUUCGUGCCGGUGCCGGUCCAUGUGCCCACAGAGCUCGUGGGGUCGGAGGACAUCGCGAGGCUCGUGAUGGAGCUGAACGUCAGCUGCGCAGCGCCGUUCAAGGAGCGGCUGGCGGCGCUGCUUGCGGGGGAGGAGGAGGAGGAGGAGGAGGAGGAGGCAGGAGGCGUCCAGUGCGUGAUUACAGACGUCAUUUGGUACUCGGCGCAGGCGGCGGCGAGGGAGCUCGGCGUGCCGGCUCUGGGGCUCAUGACCAGCAGUGCUGCGAGCUUCCGGAACUUCAUGGUCUACCCGACACUGAUUGAGAAGUGCUACUUGCCUGUCCAAGGUAACUACAGCAAAUCGAAAUGUUUGCUGUUUAGUACUAACGCUUAUUCUAACAACCAGACACCAAAAAUUCUCUGUUUCCUCUUUGCACGGCAGAGGAGCACAAGGAUGAUCCAGUCGACGUGCUGCCACCGUUCCGUGUGAGGGACCUUCAACGCAUCGAGACGAGCAGCCUUGCCGACUUCGCCAGCCUGCUCGGGCACACAGUUGAUGGAGGGCGGCAGUCCGCCGGCCUCAUAAUCAACACCGUCGAGGCCAUCGAGGGGGUUGACCUCGACAAGAUCCGCGAGGACAUGUCCAUCCCCGUGUUCCCCAUCGGCCCUCUCAACAUGGUCUCGCCGCCGGUGGAAAGCAGCUUGUACGAGUUGCAGCAAGACCGCCGGUGCCUCGACUGGCUGGACACGAAGGCGCCUGGCUCCGUUAUCUACGUGAGCUUCGGGAGCCUUGCUGCCAUGGACCCGCACGAAUUUGCGGAGCUGGCUUGGGGCCUGGCUGACAGUAAGCGCCCGUUCAUUUGGGUGGUCAGGCCGAGCCUCAUCCGCGGGUUCGAGUCCGGUGAUCUGCCCGAAGGGUUUCGGGAAGAGAUUGGCGAUCGAGGCAGGAUCGUCGACUGGGCUCCGCAGGAUGAGGUGCUUGCUCACCCUGCAGUUUGCGCUUUCUUGACUCACAAUGGUUGGAACUCGACGAUGGAGGCUAUAUCACAAGGCGUGCCGAUGAUAUCACGACCUUUCUUUGGUGACCAGUAUGGAAAUGCUAUGUUCGUGUGCGACGUUUGGAGGGUUGGAGUGGAGGUUCAAGUGGAAAACCAGCUCGAGAGAGUGAAGGUCAGAGAUGCUAUUGAGAAACUGAUGGGGAGCAAAGAAGGGAAGGAGAUUAGAGAGAGGAUGACGAACCUGAAAGAGAUAGCGGAGAAAGGCAUUAAGGAGAGUGGAUCAUCUCACACAGCUUUCCUUAACUUGGCUGAUCUCAUAUUUUCACUAUGAAACACUUGGAAGGUACAAAGCGUAUUUGUUAUUGCUAUGGAACGCAUGGAUUGGACGUGUACUUUCCUUUUGUAGUUUUAUUCAAUUUCCACCUUGAACUAGGAACCUAAUUUAACGUUUCGACAGAUUCGGGGACCUGAGCUGUAGUAAUUCAAAAGGUUGUGUUGAUUCCCUCAGCAUGUGGUCACUCAGAAGCCAAAAGUGUAUACCCUGAACACAUUACUAGGCCAACGGCAUGACUGAACAAGAUAAACUAUCACUUGAAAUCAAAUAAAAUGUAAAUCUUAAAAUGUUCAAUAAUAUUACUCUGACAGGAAUGAUGCUCACGAACAAGGAGCAAAAACAAUUAAGUUCCUAUCAUCACCAUACAUAUAUCAUAAAGUAUGCAAAAGUACACACUACGGUGAGACAAUGAAAUCCACUAGACGUUGCAAGGAUGCAUCGGUAGAUCCACCUUUGGAAGUGCAUUUCACUGCUGCAUCCCUCAAAUCUCUAAUCCUUUCUCUGAUCCUGUCUCCUUCCUCUCGGCCCAUCAGUCUCUCUACAGCCAACUGGACGUCCCCUCUCGUCAGCUGGUUCUCCACCUCCACCAAUCUGACCCCAACCUUCCACACUUGGCACACGUACCUGGCGUUGCACAGCUGGUCUCCCCCCAGUGGCCUGCAUAUCAUCGGCACGCCUCCCAAUAUGCUCUCCAGCGUCGAGUUCCACCCGCAGUGCGUCAGGAAGGCCCCCACCGCGGGGUGCUUCAGCACCUCCUGCUGCGGAGCCCAGCUCACGAUCCGCCCUCUGCCCCGUACCUCCUCCCGCAGCUCAGCAGGAAGCUCGCUGGACUCGCAUCCACGCACCAGCCUCGGGCGGACCACCCACAGGAAGGAGCGCUUGCUGCCAGCCAGUCCCCAGGCCAUCUCCGUGAGCUCGUGCGCAUCGAUGGACACCAAGCUCCCGAAGCUGACGUAUAUCACGGAGCUUGGUGGCUGCGCAUCCAGCCAUUCGAUGCAGCUUCGGUCCUGGAGCAGCAAGCUGCUGUCCACGGACGGUGAGAGGAUGUGGAGGGGGCCGACGGCGAACACCGGGACAACGAUGUCCUGGCAGAUGUUGGAAAUGUCCGUGCCCUCGAUGGCAUCCAACGUGUUGAGUAUGAGGCCUGAUGACUGUCGUGCUUCAGCAACCAUGUGAGUGAGCAGGUCUGCGUAGGCGCGGUGCCGAGUGGCGUCCCUCUCAUGAUGCAAGUCCCUUACGAGCAAAGGAGGGAGCUCCUUGACGUCCGUGUCCAAAUUCGACUCUGCGAAAAUGAUUUCAAUGUCACUGUAUUUUCUAUCAUGGAACCAAUUAUUGGGUAAUUAAAGUACAUGGAGAAAGUAGAUUGAGCAUUUCUAAUAAUCAUAGAAAGGUACCAGGAUAACAAUGUGAAUUUGGUACUUCAAUACCCUUAUAUAUGAAUUCCAAUUGACUCCACAAUAUGUCUUGCAUUCAAUUCGUGAGCUUGAAAAUGUUUGGAGCACGGUAUCUUUUAAGUAAUCUAGGUAUGGGAAAGUUGCCUUUGGUAAAUAAAAAUCAUAUCUUUGACGAUCUGACCCCCAUCUUGAUAUCAAUAUCUUUAAAUUUGUAUUCAAGAUAGCACAAUUGGAUGCGGAAAUUGAAUGUUAUAAGGACGAAGAACCCCGGAUGCUAAUUGUUCAUCCACAUGGUCAACUGGUCACUGAGCAAGGCAGCAAACUCCAUACCUCGGAUGGGCAAAUAGCCUUUCUCCUCCAGAAGCGGGAACGCCAAGUACAUCCUGAACUUGGCCGCGCUGCUGGUCAUCAGAGGGAGCGCCUUAACGCCGAGCUCCCUCGCAACGCCAAGCGGCGCGAACCAGUCCACGUCGGCGACCACGCAGACGACGUCGCGCGCGCCGGCGAGGUACUCCCUGAACGGCGCAGCGCAGCUCCUGUUCAGCGUGAGGACGAACGGCGCAACGUCGCUCGACUCGGCGAGCUCCGGCGGGACGCCGUCCCUGAUGGACACGAAGUCGUAGUCCACGGGCAGCUUCCGGCGGUCCGGCGCGCGGGUCUCGGUGUGCACGACGGUGAUGGCGAGGCCACGGGCGUGGAACGCCGCUGCGAGCCGGAGCAUGGGUUCGAUGUGGCCCUGGUAGGGGAGGGGGAAUAGGACCACGCGAGGGCAGCCACCGGGAGCGUCGCUUGGAGUCAUGGCCAGGUAGAGAGAGAGAGAGGGAGGGAGAGGGAGAGGGAGAGGGAGAACUCGACUCGAUGUGUACAAGCGUGAGAAAGACGAAAAGUUGGGACAGGAUCACGUGGAAAGGUGAAAAAAGUAGCAUUUUUCGUUUUGCGGCAUCUGACGUGGGUUGGCGGGGCUGUUUGGCUCGUAAGUGUUAAAAACACCUAUCACAUCGAAUGUUUGAUACUAAUUAGAAAUAUUAAACAUAGGUCAAUUACAAAACUAAUUGCACAGAUGGAGUCUAAUUCGCGAGAUGAAUCUAUUAAGCCUAAUUAUUCCAUGAUUUGACAAUGUGGUGCUACAAUAACUAUUUGCUAAUUAUGGAUUAAUUAGUUUUAAUAGAUUCGUCUCGUGAAUUAGGGGUUCUGCAAUUAGUUUUUUAAUUUAAAUAUAUUUAGUCCUCUAAAUUAGCAUCCGAACAUCCGAUGUGACACAACUAAAGUUUAGCACCUGAUGUCCAAACACUCCCUUGUCCUAAUUUGGGGGGAAGUUCCAGCCACUAGAGCGCCAUAUGGUCGUCGAGCAUGUGCAUGAUGAUGAUUCAAGGCUGUUUUAGUCCAAAGAACAUACAAGCAUGAAGACCUUAAUUUUUUUCUACUCUCAUAUACGCCGAUGCAAGCCGAUAUUGUAGUUCACUGAAAUGUCUGGACAUCACGGAGUUUUGUUUCCUUGCUCUUUUGCCACUACUCAUGAAUAAACCCACAUGGGGUACGUUAUUUGCUCCAUUUCAUGUGCAUGUGAGCUCUUUUGCUUUCCACAUGCUCUUUGGUGCCAGCAAUUUUCACUUUGUAUAUACUAUUUUACUUUUAUUUUCUCAGAGCUCACCUAUUUGACUUGGUUAUAUAAAAUAUGUAAGAAUUUCGAGUUGACCUUUGUUACAAGCCCAUCCGCUCGCGUCGUCCUAGGGGCGGCCAGGCUGCCACACCCUUGCAGCCCCUCCCACCUCCCAUCCCUCCACCUCGCCACCGCCGGAAGCCCGCGCGGGCACAAGGACGGCAGCGGUGAGGCCUCCUUCCACGCGUUUAUCCUCUCCCCCGAGUUAUCCUUCCCCAAGAAAACCUAGAUCCGGUUGCCACUGGUAGCGGCGGUGAGGGUGGGCUCGUCCGAGCUGACCUCUCCUGGUUUGGAUAUUUGAACUCCGGGUGGAUGGCAUCUUCUUCGCCUCCGGUGGCCACCACCGUGGGUGGGGGGAGGGGGGUGCUCGCCUCCAAUUGCCGCCACCCCUUCUAGUUGUCUUCCAGGUGGGGGGCAAUGGGCGGCCUUUUGGUUGCCGCCACCGUGUCAGGUAGUCUCCCUAAUGGGCGUCCUUGGUUGCUUGGCAGAGGCAGGAUCUGGUGGAGCGUCCAGAGGUCGUCGGUUGCCGUGCAGUGCGUUUCUUGGGUGUGCAGGUUCUCGGGCGAAAGCCUAGCUCGAUCCUGGAUUGUUUGCUAGUGACGAUGGUGCCAUGGGUAUCAUUUUCCUUCUUGAAGGCGUUGCCGUAAGGACCUCAACCUCUAGGGACAGAUCCAGGUGAAAACUAAAGAACCGACAUGUUGGUUCGGGCGGUGGCAUGAUCUUGAUGUUGCUUUACUCUUGAGGUGUCGUCUUGGAGUCCUUGAUGGUGAUACCAUGUUCAGCUUAGAGCGAUGGCGGUUCCAAUUUGUAUUUGUGGUAGAGAUCGACUCAGUGCGGUUUCUAGAUGACAAGGAUUACUAGACAGCACAUGACCAUCAACGAUCCUAACAUCUAAAGUUUCUAAGAAGAUAACUGAUGUGAGGCGUUUGUUACUGCAUAAGGACCAAAGCAAAGUUGAAGGAAGGAUGUAUAAGAAGUUCGAAGCUUAGUCUUUCAACCUUUCUUUCUUAAUGUAUUUCUUUCUUGUCUUUUGUGUUCCUCGGUUUGAGACUCGGAGUCUAAGUACUCGUUUAGUUUCUGGCUAUGUGGCUAGAAUUGUUUCUUUGUGGUCGUAGACAUUCAUAUUCACAUGUGAAUGUUGAAGACCGGAUAUUUUCCUUAAUGUAAAAACAUAUAAAAUAUGUAAGGCAAACCAUUGCCCAAGUUGGAUUUGAGUUGGCAAUGCAUAAACUUUGAUUGUGAAGAAUACGAUGAUUUCACAGCUGAUGAAUUGCUACAUGAUAAACUUGGUGGGGCAUGUUCUAUGUGUUGGGAAAUUUGGAUCAGCUGAAAUGAUGAGGUUUUUAACAAGACACGAGUUUUUUCAUCUAUGCGGGUAGUUUUCAGAGGAACACAUUGGUGCUAUUUUUGUGCGCUGCUGCAAAAGGAAGGAGAAAGAUCCCGUAUAAACUGGGGGUGUCCUGUGCUUAGACGGUGGUCAUGGAAAUUUUUUCCUCAAACACGGUGGUUAUGGAAAUUUUUUCCUCAAACGGCUGGUGUUCUAGUAAUAGACUACCUUUUUAUUUGACAUAAGCACGAUGGAUGUUAUGAUUGUCUUCUUAAGUUCUUUCACUUUCAUUGGAUCAUGAUCUUGUUUGUAAUAAUGGAUAGCUAUAUGUAUCAAUCGUCACAAAGGCUGGAAUAUUAAUGCAUAUUCCCUUUUCUAAAAAAAUUGGUGUCAUGGACCUCUAGUAUAUAUUCAUGCAAAUCACGCAUCAAUUUGUGGCUAAAUCAAGUCAACUCAGGGUAAACUUCAGGGAGGAUAGAGGUAGGAACUGGGAGAUUACAGAGAAUUCUGGAAAGCUUUGAGAAGCAUAACAAGAUCGUACGUAUUAGCACAAAAUGAUUUAACUGAAAUAAAACAAUCUUUCAUGUGUGCAUCGCACAGCUUGUCUGUUCAUGUGCAAGUCUUGCGCCAUGUUGGCUCCUUGCAUCUUGGAGAUUUCUCUCCUCUCUUCCUUCUUCCCUUUCUAGUUCUCUUGAUGAUAGGAGAACUAUACUACUUUCAUUCUCGUGUGUUAUUCUCUGUGUGUCCUAUAUCUCACAUUCACAGGGGUCAAACUUUUCUAUUUAUACACCACAGUGCAGUGCUGCCAACCAUCAUGUACCCCAGCCGAAGCAUCAAACGACGCAUGGCGUUUCAAGUUCAGUGCUGGCUCAUUUCUUUAAUCAAGCGCUUUGCAUUGCCAUUAGCUAUUACAUUGCGUAACAGUGCUAAGCAUCAAGGCUUGCGUAAUAGUGACUCUUGUACCUUUUCAUUGACUAGAAACGAUAGUAUAGUAAAAGAAAAUUUAACAAACUGAGACACCAUUGCACUUGAAGAGGCACAAUUAACAAUCUGUUUGAAGGAUCAGACAGCAGUAAUCCACAGGUUAAUCGCAGUCAGUAGCUACGUUGAUGCAGUAGUACCCAGUGCUCAAACCGAGAGAAUUAUCAGAUAUGAAUAGAUGAGCACAUCAGAACACAGCGCAGCGUGUAACUUUCCUCUCCCAAUCCAUACAUGUGAUCCAAACGUUGCACAUUUUCACUUUCAGACAAUUUCAAUCUCUAAACGAACAGAUAUUCUGUAAAAGGGUACAGUGAGAAAAGAGCAACAGCCAUAACUUUUUAUAUCCGGCAACACACCACACGUACGAUCUGUUGAGAAGUUCAUGUUAUGAACCAAAAAUACUAAAAAGGUGCCGCACCAAAUCUAAGACCCCGUCCAAGGUUAAUGCAGACAUAAUUUACUCAGGGAAACCCCCCAAAAAAAAGACACGGUACAUGACAUCACUUCCUGUUCGCUUCAACUUAUUCAGCCAGCUUAUCAGCCAUCAAACAGUAUUUUCCUCUCACAACAAAUCAGCCGUUUCAGCUUUUCAGCCGGCUUAUAAGCUGAAGCGAACAGGCCCAACGGCUCUCGGACGGGUGGUGCGACGGUGAUCGCUUUACCAAACCGUUCGGAGAGACGACGCGCCCACUCAUUGAUCUCCCACUCAAGGAUGAACACGUUCACCAUGCGAGCGCAUCGUAAUUUCACCUGUGGUUCUAUGGUUACAUGCUCAAGCGCGUCGCCCUUCGCCAGGAUGCCGCACAGGAACUCCACCUGAGCCCGGAAACCGCGGAACCCACUCAUGUAGACCGACUUGAGGUGAUCAAGGCCGUGCAUAAAGGAGAUCCCCUUCCCUGUCACCUCCCCUUUCCAGCAGGAGCUGCUAAACUUAUAAUAGAACAUCUGUUUCAGAAAUCACCAUGCACAGUUAGUCAACAUACUGUACUAGGUUCGCUCUUUCCCAAAAAUAAAUCUUAAAAGUAUGAGAUCUGCGUUAUGCGCAAAUUAAUGGACUCUAUGUGCAUUCUAUGUAAAUCUGCAAAAUCAACAAAAGAGUACCACUCACAUGCACUUGCAGUAUCUCCAGCUGGGGUGCAAAUUCCAAAUAGCUAGCCAGUUGAAGGAGUCCACUGUGGCUAUUUGGACGAUAAGUGUGGAUUUUUAUUUCACAAGUUAAGUGCCUCAAACUCAUAAACAUGCAUGUUGGUCUUGUUACCAUUUGCACCUGAAACAUGACCCAAAAAAAAUAUCAGCAACUCUGCUUGAAGAACUGUCAGUCAAGUAAAGAACAUAUAUAUACACCAGGUAGGCAGGUACUUGUGAGCCCCAGACUGGAUGAUCUUCCUGCAUAGCAGCACGCAUGUUUAGCACCUUCACUGCUGAAAUACCAUGAAUUGCAGUGAAUGCAUGGCCCACUACUUUGUAAUUUUUAAACAUUAUUAUUGCCUUCUCUAGUUUUGAGCAACCAUGAAGUGCUAUAGGAACCACAUCCCCUUUGUAAUUAAAAUGAGCAAGACCAGGAACAUGAAAAUCAACCAUCUGGACACACAUACCUGAAAGUAGCAAAUGUCUAAGUUUAUCCAGUUGGUGUGGUAUAAUCAGAUCAGUCAAGCCAGAGCACGCGAUGAGCUCUAAAUCCUCAAGACUAGAACAGUUUAAUAGCAAGCCUGCAAGAUCUCCAGUGAUUUGAACAGAAUGCAAAAGAAGCCUUCUGAGUUUUGUAAAGCCACAUACAUCUGAGUACGGCUCUAUAGAGACAUGGGUGAGAAGCAAGGACUGGAUAAAAGGACCAUCUCGAGCACCUAAAGCCUCAAGAGGGAAGUGAUAAUCUCCUUUGGUUGGUCUUCUGAUACACCCUUUUGGCAACAGGUUAAUGUCUAUGGUCUUUGCCCUUGCUGCAGUGGCAAAGCAAAUCCACCUAUCAAGAUGAUCCGAGGACUCCUUCUCUAUGCCGCACCUGAUGCAGAACCUAUUGAGCCCUACUCCACUGUGCUGCUGAACAAUAGAAUUGACUGUCUCAAUGAACUCUGCUCUUUCUAUUUUGACACAAUCCUCGUCAUUGGACCGGUUUCUAGUGCCAUCAAAGCUCAGGUUAGGGUGGCGUGUCCAGAGCGGUCUCCAUUUUCUUGACACAAUGCUAGUCCUUGCAGCCUCUUUCAGUGACAGCAGUGACAAAACAAGAGUUUGGAUUUCCUGUGGCAAGAAAGAAUGUGCAAGGGUUGAGAGCUAUGAAAAAAACUGCAUGGUAGGCGUGAAUCGCGAUGACCACAGAUCACACAGUGCUUUAAACACUGCCUUCGUUAAAAUAUCAUAAACCGCUCUUCUAUAUAUUUUGCAAGGUAAACUGAGGACAUGCAAAUCGGACACAGGAACAUAUAAGAUAGCAUGAUAAACGUGGAUUUGCAGGAACAGGAAAACAAAAUUGAGAGCAAAACUCCGCUAGCCGAUUAUGUAUCUGAUAGCAUAGAUUCCCCAACCUACCCUAGUACCCUACGAAAGGAUCGGAGAGGAGACACAGGGCAAGGCAGGGGAAGAGGGGGAGAGAGUUUACCUCGGGGAGGUCGUCUAUGUGGGAGGAGGAGGGGUUGAGCGAGUCGUCGGUAGCAACGCGGUGGCGCUCCAUCCUCAUCCGCUUCCCCGCCGGCCGCCGCCUCCUCCGCCGUAGGCUGCUGCAAACUUCCGGCAGGCGCCGCCGCCUCCCCGUCCCCGCAGGCUACUACGCAUAGAGUGCGCUAGUUGGUCCCUGCUAGGCGCGCUGGGCCGCACAUAAGGCCCAAAACCAAAAGGCAGGCCUUGUGCUAUUGGGCUACACAUACUGGGCCGCCGCGGGCGCAACUGAACCGACAGCCCUUGAAGGCUCUCUCUGCACUUAACCAACAGGCAGACGACAGUAAUCCUCACGUUAUUAAUCUCUGCAACUACUGACCACAAUCAGUAGUACAGUGAUACAUACAGGGAGAAGGCAAAUCGAAAUUGAGACAUAAACCAGUCACGAUUCAACCGAGUAUCACACAAACCAGGAAGUAGAACUCAGAGGCAUGCUGAUUGCUGACUUGCUGAGCACACACCACACCACAUGUAAGUUUAUCUCCUAUAGUCCACACCUUGCGUACUUCGCUACAUAAAGUCCAAUCUUCAAAUAAAUCUUCUACAAAAGUUACAGCUGAGAAGUUUGGCGCCAUCGCGCGCUAGCAGCGGCACCACCUGUCCGUCUAACCAAGCAACACUAUAAACUCUCAAACUGCAAGCAAAACCUGGGUGUGAAGCGCCAGCGCACCACUAUUUUACAGAAGAAUCCUAAACCUUUUGAUCGCAUAAUGUGGCGCUUUCAGUAAUUUCAACCUCAGACUUGGAGCAAUGUUAUUCGUGAAAUGUUACGCCUUGGCAUACUUGCCAACAUAUGCCUGCAAGCAAUUAGCACGGCUCGGUUAGAGACUUGGAGCACAGGAAUGAGCUGAAAAUGAAGUUGAGUGAAGAGUAAAGGGAUACGAUGAAGGAGGGGGCUGAGGUUGACCUGUACGAGUUUAUUUAGUUUUUCUUUGGAGUAGGACAUGUAGAUCUCGAUCUUCUCUUUCGUUGGAGGUGUAUUUUCCACCGUGCUUGUAACUUUGUCGACAACCUUCUUCACGAUGGUUUUAUGGACCUCCCUGCUCAUCUGACCCUCUUUCCAUGUAGGCUUCAGUGCUUCCUUCACAAAGUCCGCAAGUGCAACCUUGAACAUCUUCAGUGUCUUGGAGUCCUUGCUCUUCUUAUUAUCACCAUCCUCAUGAGCCUCAGCGUCACUAUCUUUGUUCUCUCCUUUCUUACUUUCUGGAGGCACAGUUUCAUUGACCACUGAAGCAGCGGCAGCAGGACCAGACGGUGCACCUCCAUGAGGUAAGUGCAUAGAGUUACCAUUACUAAUACCGAGGGCGAUUGGCAUCUGGAAUGUCUGGGGAGCCUGCUGCUGCUGUUCAGAUGGAACAGCAAGACCAGGUUGGACUAUGCCUGUUUGUUGCUGCGCCCAGGGCCACUGAUUGGGUUGGACAGCUGGAGGUGCAGCAGAUGAAGUGGCCAUCAGGCUCGAAUUAACAUUAGGCUGUGAUGAUUGUAAUCCAACUGUACCAGUACCAAAAGCGGUAUUUCCAAAGUACUGUGCCAAGGAUGCAGUAACGCGGCUAACUUCUUCACUUUUUGCUGCAUUGUGAGAAACAGGAACUCCAGCCACAUCAGUUGAGCUGGAAGUUGGCACAAGAGGUAACCCUUGCAAGGGUUGAUUUUGCAUAUUUGGAGGCUGGAAAUUCUGCAUGUUUCGUAUGCUUUGAGAACUACUGUCUUGACUUAGCCUGGGGAUGUCGACUGUUGCCUGAAGCACAGUUGUUGGAAGAUUCUGUGGAACUUGACUGGCAACACUGAAAUUAUGUCCAUUAUGUGCAGAGGGAUUUGGCAGUGCCUGUGGCUCUAGACCAUAGCCAUGUUGGCCAUGCCCCAUAUUAGGAGCAACCGGCUGGCCCUGCGUGCUGGGAGUAUUAUUUGCAGAUGCCUGUGGAACUACAAAUUGCUCUUGCCUGUUCUGUUGUACAGGAAAGUUGCUCUGUUGCGCAUGGCUAUUCGAAUGGAAUGAGGAUGCAACCUUCUGCAAUUGGGUGGUGACUGGAAGAGUUGAUGGCCCAGGAAUAUGAGGAAUCGCGUCAUGUCUCUGAAGUAUUUGUCCAAGGCUUUGCUCUGCUAUUAUAUUAGCACUAUGCAUACCCGAUUGCAUGCUCAUCUCUGUUGCAGGAGCAUUCUGACCGCCCAUGCCGGAUAUGUUCUCAUUAUUCAUGUUAUCUGCAGUAAUCUGGACAGGAGUUAAUAACUGUGGCUGUUGUGAAACAGCAACUUCAUGUUUAUUUUCCACUUGUGAACGAAAAUCUUCCUGAGGAAUAAUCUGGUACUGACUCUUUCCAGCAUCUUUUGAAAGCCGGUUCUCGUACUCAUAAUGAGAAUCAUUUCUGCCAAUACUCUGAGAAAUAGGAUUUUCCCUGUCAUCCCUGGAUAAAAUCUGAGAAGUUGCACGCAUAGCAUUAUUUUGUUCACCCCAGUUUGAGUAGUCUCCUCUUGCUGAACGCCCAUCACUGUAAUUCAAAGGCUCAUCAGGUGCACUCACUCCUAUCUGACUCUGGGGAGCUUCCUCGUGGAGAUAUGGACAAUUUUCACCACGGCGACAUCGACCUUCAGCAAAAAACUUACAAGGGUUUUUAUUUACCCUACGGUGCUCAGUCCUAUUCCCAUAGGAUGAAUCAGGGCCAACUCUAUCAUGGACACUUUCCCUAGCCUCAUCUCUCCAUCCACCAUGAGAAGCAGAAUCACCAUGAGCAAAUCGGCAGCUAGCACCUCUAGCACACCUCCCUUUGGCAAAAUUAUAGCAUUGUUCAGUAGACCGAUAAUCCCUUCGGGGUUCAGAUCUUUCCCAUGGCCCAUCAUCAUAAUGAUCUCGAGAUUGCCUAUUACGCAAAUAGUCAUUUGGUUCUCGUGAAUCCAUGAAUUCCUUGUUCUGAAACCCAUAUCUUUCCCUUGGGUCAGCAGGAUAAUGAUCUUCAAAUGGCCUCUGCCCUCCAUCUUCAUGAAGGAACCUGCAAUUCGUGCCUCUUCUGCACCUGCCAGCCACAAAAUCUCUGCAGGGCAGAGCAGGCCCUCCAGAUGUUCUGCCUCUCUCAACCCUCCACUCAGGUCCACGAUCAGCAAAAUAAGGACUUCUGCUCCUUCCCCUGCCUCGCCCUAUACUCCUGCUUCUGCUCCUACUCCUGUUUCUGCUUCUGCUUCUGCUUCUGGAACGACUUCUGUUCCUGUUAACAGAAACACACAGUGUAAAGAAAAGGUACUGCUAGCAUACUAAGUCUUUCGAUGACAUUACAAUUUACAAAUAGUAAAUUCUAGUAGAAGUUGUGAAUGAAUUUUAAGAUAAUAUACCAUCUUCCAGAUCAAGAUUGAUUAAAACUGGAGAGAGAUUCUUCACAAGUACAACAUAUAUUAUCAAAGGCCCACAUUUUUCAACUCCUUGCAGUUGGUAGUGGAAGGAAUACAGCAUGCUGCUUGAGUACAAGUACAGGUGGAAAGCCAGGAAACCUAGUGGCCUCAACUUAAUUUACACAAUUCUUGUAAAUUCCAUCUUGGAUGCUUCCAUAAUAUAAAUUUGACCCAGACAUAGCAUUUUAAGUUGCUUGAACACUAUGCGCAUGGAACACAAAACCAAAGUGCCAAUACUUGCACAGUCAAUAAAAUUAGUUGUUCAAUCAUACCUGCGUGAUCUAUUCCAAACCCCUCUUGGAGAUGGACUGCGACUACGAGGCCUCCAUGCAUCUGGAUCAGAAGGCGCCCUAGAAGAAUAACCACGAUUACGAGCUGUACCCCAUCCAUCACCGCGUCUUCUGUCAUCUGCAUAUCUGUUCAUGCCUUGGUUAGCAGCUGCCUUGCUCCACUCAUCACGCUCAUCAGCCGCUCUGAGAAGCUGUGGUCUUUCAGAGGGUGCCUUAGGUUGCAAUUCCUUGGUAUCUUUAUUGAACCCAUCAGCCUGUUCCUUCUCAUGUCCAGCACCACCAUGGUGCAUGGAGGUAUCAGGUUUUGGGUGUACAUCACCUUUACGGUGACCACCUGUCUUAUCAGGAAGAGACUCAUCUUCGCUGAUCUCAACUAUAUCAUGAGGUCCUUCUUUCGCAUCCCACUUGGAACGCUGUUUCCUACUAUCACCAGCCAUUUUGUCCCUUCUUUACUAAUAUGAAAAAAGAAAAUGGAUGCCAAGUAAUUUCAAGAACAAGAUCCCCUUCCUCCUUGCAAAAAUUCUUCUGAAACUCUGAAAUAGCCAAGGAAUAUGUAUAUAGUUACAAUUAAUCAAGGAACAUACUGCUACGACAUUAAAAGCUUGAGAAGCCAGGCACAAAACCAGUAAUAACUGACAGGAAUAUGAAAAUGAAAUUAUCUCCUAAAGCCCAUUCUAAAUCUUCAAAUCAAAACUGUAACGAAGUUUGCAUGUCGAAAAAACAAUUUAAGCCAAUUAUGAACACCCAUUGGCAAGCUGUGGCUAGCCAACUCCACAAGUACGCUUCCUACCACAUGGCAGCUGUUUGUUGCUCAAAAAUUUAGUAACGGAUCCUAACUCUUUCAUGCCAAAAAUAAACCAGGCACGGUGUCUUAAAAUCCCAUGACUCUAGCCCUCAUGAGCAGAAUUCAUCAAGAACAAAAAGAUAGUGCAGCAUCUAAGUCAGUGGCAUAGGCAACAACAGGAGAUUGUCUACCAUGCAAUGGAGCAACCACAGUAACACGAGUUUGAGGAAACACAAAGGAAGCAAAGUCCAUGGGAAAAUCAUACACGAAGUGCAGUUCAAGUGCAAAGAGGAAUGAAUGUGUUGUUUGCAAACAUGGAAAUUUGUGUUAGCAGCGCAUUGUCAUUUAUUAAUUCCAUCGAUUAAUUGGUCGUAUUUCCUACUUCUCUUUACAGUUUCUUGUUUUUAAGACUACCGGUUGCAUCUUUUUCAAUGUCAUCAUCGUCAGAAACUAAAGCCAAGAAUUCUGGAUGGCAAGAGUUAACAGCUGAAUAGGCAUCACAGCAUUUUCUACAGAUUGGGAACUAGCUGACUCAUGAAUACUUUUAUACAAGCAAUUCCACAACCAGGAUUAUCACAAACAUUUCAAUUUUCAUUCGCCAGGGUGUUUCCAUAUCAAGACACAUCAAAGAAAUUUCUUUUGUGCAACUUAUCAUUACAUUUCAAAUAGACCAUACAUCCUUUACAGAUAAUAAUAAGAGGACUACAGGCCACCACACUGACAAAACAUACAUCUACAAAAUUAAGUCCUGACUAUCCAGAAAAUAUUUCAAGCAGCAACUGCAGAAAUCUUGGGCAUCGACAAGUUGCAUCAACUAUUGAGUUCCAGCAGUUUUGCCAAACUUGGUGGAUACUUAAGGUUCAGUUGCUACUGGCUCUGAUUGUCAUGAC
rnacentral:lncRNA from 1 species